rnacentral:rRNA from 1 species
UAGGGAAUCUUCCACAAUGGGCGAAAGCCUGAUGGAGCAACGCCGCGUGUGUGAUGAAGGGUUUCGGCUCGUAAAACUCUGUUGGUAGAGAAGAACGUUGGUGAGAGUGGAAAGCUCAUCAAGUGACGGUAACUACCCAGAAAGGGACGGCUAACUACGUGCCAG